ensembl:snRNA U1 U1 spliceosomal RNA
AUACUCACCUGGCAGGGGAGAUACCACGAUCAUGAAGGUGGUUUUCCUAGGGCGAGGCUUAUCCAUUGCACUCCAGAUUUGCUCACCUCUGCGAUUUCCCCAAAUAUGGGAAACUCAACUGCAUAAUUUGUAGUAGUGAGGGACUGCAUUCGUGCUUUCCCCUU